CCGCACUCACAAUACACUCGCGGAUCCUCUCGUGGAAUAGCUGUUCUCGCACGGAUAGCACUUCGUAGUCAGGUGCUUCCAUACUCUGCUCAGCAUGACUGAAGCCGAGGUGCCUCUGGGCCCGGGGAGGACGAGCGGGGAGGAAGCCGCCGCCGCCAAGCACCCAGACCCAGCCUAGGGGCCUUUCCUCGCAGCCUGCGACAGAAACUCGGCAGACACCGGGUCCCGGUUACCGUCCCCGACAAGCUAAGAGUCGAGG
rnacentral:lncRNA from 1 species